rnacentral:rRNA from 1 species
UCCUACGGGAGGCAGCAGUAGGGAAUCUUCCGCAAUGGACGCAAGUCUGACGGAGCAACGCCGCGUGAGUGACGAAGGUUUUCGGAUCGUAAAACUCUGUUGUGAGGGAAGAACAAGUGCCAACUAACUACUGGCACCUUGACGGUACCUCACCAGAAAGCCACGGCUAACUACGUGCCAGCAGCCGCGGUAAUACGUAGGUGGCAAGCGUUGUCCGGAAUUAUUGGGCGUAAAGCGCGCGCAGGCGGUCCCUUAAGUCUGAUGUGAAAGCCCACGGCUCAACCGUGGAGGGUCAUUGGAAACUGGGGGACUUGAGUGCAGAAGAGGAAAGUGGAAUUCCAUGUGUAGCGGUGAAAUGCGUAGAGAUGUGGAGGAACACCAGUGGCGAAGGCGACUUUCUGGUCUGUAACUGACGCUGAGGCGCGAAAGCGUGGGGAGCAAACAGGAUUAGAUACCCUGGUAGUCCACGCCGUAAACGAUGAGUGCUAAGUGUUAGGGGGUUUCCGCCCCUUAGUGCUGCAGCUAACGCAUUAAGCACUCCGCCUGGGGAGUACGGGCCGCA